rnacentral:pre_miRNA from 1 species
UAACCUCCGCAGGCUGGCCUGCCCCCCGGUUGGGCUGGGCGAGUAUCUUUUCGAAAGGCUCACCCUCAAGCAUGCCUGGCAGC